rnacentral:rRNA from 1 species
UACAGAGGGGGCAAGCGUUGUUCGGAAUUACUGGGCGUAAAGGGCGCGUAGGCGGCCUGCUAAGUCGAACGUGAAAUCCCUGGGCUCAACCCCAGGAACUGCGUCCGAUACUGGUUGGCUUGAAUCCGGGAGAGGGAUGUGGAAUUCCAGGUGUAGCGGUGAAAUGCGUAGAUAUCUGGAGGAACACCGGUGGCGAAGGCGGCAUCCUGGACCGGCAUUGACGCUGAGGCGCGAAAGCCAGGGGAGCAAACGGG